GAGGUCAGGGUUUGGUCCUAGCCUUAUUAUUAACUGUUUCCCGACUUACACAUGCAAGUCUCAGCACUCCAGUGAGAACGCCCUUUAACCUUCAACAGACCAAGGAGCCGGUAUCAGGCACCACCUCCGCCCACAACACCUAGUCUCACCACACCCCCAAGGGUAGUCAGCAGUGAUUAAUCUUGUUCAUAAGCGGCAGCUUGACUCAGUCAGGGGAAAGAGGGCCGGCUAAUCUGGUGCCAGCCGCCGCGGCUACACCAUGUAGGCUCAAGUUAAUAGUAGUCGGCGUUAAGCGUGAUUAAAGUACCCUCAACUAGGGUCAAAUUAUACACUUAGUAGUUGAUAAGCUUGUUAUUAAGAAGAACACAAACGAAAGUUACCCUAGUCACCAUACUUGAAUACACGACAGCUGGGAAAACAAACUGGGAUCAGAUACCCCACUAUGCCCAGCCGUAAACAAUUAACUCACAACAACCAGCGCCUGGAAAUUACGAGCAAUGCUUAAAACCCAAAGGACUUGACGGUGUCCCACCCAACUAGAGGAGCCUGUUCUAUAAUCGAUGAUCCCCGCUAUACCUAACCAUUUCUAGCUAUUCAGUCUGUAUACCUCCGUCGAAAGCUUACCAUGUGAACGAACUUUAGUAGGCCCAAGGACCCCAUCAACACGUCAGGUCAAGGUGCAGCUUACGAGAUGGAAAGUAAUGGGCUACAAUUUCUAAUCUAGAACAAACGAAAUACUGUGUGAAACCACAGUCACGAAGGCGGAUUUAGUAGUAAAAAGAAAAUAGAGAGUUCUUUUUAACCCGGCUCUGGGACGUGUACACACCGCCCGUCACCCUCUUCGACUACAUAACAAAGUUCAUAACCCCAUUUUUUACUCUAGAAGAGGCAAGUCGUAACAUGGUAAGUGUACUGGAAAGUGGACUUGGGAUAUUA
rnacentral:ncRNA from 1 species